rnacentral:rRNA from 1 species
UAAUACGGAGGGUGCAAGCGUUAAUCGGAAUUACUGGGCGUAAAGCGUGCGCAGGCGGUUUGUUAAGUCUGUUGUGAAAUCCCCGAGCUCAACUUGGGAAUUGCAAUGGAUACUGGCAGGCUCGAGUAUGGUAGAGGAAGGUGGAAUUCCCGGUGUAGCAGUGAAAUGCGUAGAGAUCGGGAGGAACACCAGUGGCGAAGGCGGCCUUCUGGACCAAUACUGACGCUCAUGCACGAAAGCGUGGGGAGCAAACAGG